CAGCAGCCGCGGUAAUACGUAGGGUGCAAGCGUUAAUCGGAAUUACUGGGCGUAAAGCGUGCGCAGGCGGUUAUAUAAGACAGAUGUGAAAUCCCCGGGCUCAACCUGGGAACUGAUUUGUGACUGUAUAGCUAGAGUACGGCAGAGGGGGAUGGAAUUCCGCGUGUAGCAGUGAAAUGCGUAGAUAUGCGGAGGAACACCGAUGGCGAAGGCAAUCCCCUGGGCCUGUACUGACGCUCAUGCACGAAAGCGUGGGGAGCAAACAGGAUUAGAUACCCCCGUAGUCCCUGUCUCUUAUACA
rnacentral:rRNA from 1 species